rnacentral:rRNA from 1 species
UACGGGGGGGGCAAGCGUUGUUCGGAAUUACUGGGCGUAAAGGGCUCGUAGGCGGCCAACUAAGUCAGACGUGAAAUCCCCAGGCUUAACCUGGGAACUGCAUUCGAGACUGCAUUGCUAGAGUAUGGGAGAGGGAAGUGGAAUUUCCGGUGUAGCGGUGAAAUGCGUAGAUAUCAGGAAGAACACCCGUGGCGAAGGCGGCUCUCUGGUACGGAACUGACGCUGAGACGCGAAAGCGUGGGGAGCGAACAGG